GAUGAACGCCGGCGGCGUGCCUAAUACAUGCAAGUCGAGCGAACAGACGAGGAGCUUGCUCCUUUGACGUUAGCGGCGGACGGGUGAGUAACACGUAGGUAACCUACCUAUAAGACUGGGAUAACUUCGGGAAACCGGAGCUAAUACCGGAUAAUAUUUCGAACCGCAUGGUUCGAUAGUGAAAGAUGGCUUUGCUAUCACUUAUAGAUGGACCUGCGCCGUAUUAGCUAGUUGGUAAGGUAACGGCUUACCAAGGCAACGAUACGUAGCCGACCUGAGAGGGUGAUCGGCCACACUGGAACUGAGACACGGUCCAGACUCCUACGGGAGGCAGCAGUAGGGAAUCUUCCGCAAUGGGCGAAAGCCUGACGGAGCAACGCCGCGUAAGUGAUGAAGGUCUUCGGAUCGUAAAACUCUGUUAUUAGGGAAGAACAAACGUGUAAGUAACUGUGCACGUCUUGACGGUACCUAAUCAGAAAGCCACGGCUAACUACGUG
rnacentral:rRNA from 1 species